UGACGUCAAGUCAUCAUGGCCCUUACGGCCUGGGCUACACACGUGCUACAAUGGUCGGUACAAAGGGUUGCCAAGCCGCGAGGUGGAGCUAAUCCCAUAAAACCGAUCGUAGUCCGGAUCGCAGUCUGCAACUCGACUCCAUGAAGUUGGAAUCGCUAGUAAUCGUGGAUCAGCAUGCCACGGUGAAUACGUUCCCGGGCCUU
rnacentral:rRNA from 1 species